rnacentral:rRNA from 1 species
GAUGAACGCUGGCGGCGUGCCUAAUACAUGCAAGUCGAGCGAACGGACGAGAAGCUUGCUUCUCUGAUGUUAGCGGCGGACGGGUGAGUAACACGUGGAUAACCUACCUAUAAGACUGGGAUAACUUCGGGAAACCAGAGCUAAUACCGGAUAAUAUUUUGAACCGCAUGGUUCAAAAGUGAAAGACGGUCUUGCUGUCACUUAUAGAUGGAUCCGCGCUGCAUUAGCUAGUUGGUAAGGUAACGGCUUACCAAGGCAACGAUGCAUAGCCGACCUGAGAGGGUGAUCGGCCACACUGGAACUGAGACACGGUCCAGACUCCUACGGGAGGCAGCAGUAGGGAAUCUUCCGCAAUGGGCGAAAGCCUGACGGAGCAACGCCGCGUGAGUGAUGAAGGUCUUCGGAUCGUAAAACUCUGUUAUUAGGGAAGAACAUAUGUGUAAGUAACUGUGCACAUCUUGACGGUACCUAAUCAGAAAGCCACGGCUAACUACGUGCCAGCAGCCGCGGUAAUACGUAGGUGGCAAGCGUUAUCCGGAAUUAUUGGGCGUAAAGCGCGCGUAGGCGGUUUUUUAAGUCUGAUGUGAAAGCCCACGGCUCAACCGUGGAGGGUCAUUGGAAACUGGAAAACUUGAGUGCAGAAGAGGAAAGUGGAAUUCCAUGUGUAGCGGUGAAAUGCGCAGAGAUAUGGAGGAACACCAGUGGCGAAGGCGACUUUCUGGUCUGUAACUGACGCUGAUGUGCGAAAGCGUGGGGAUCAAACAGGAUUAGAUACCCUGGUAGUCCACGCCGUAAACGAUGAGUGCUAAGUGUUAGGGGGUUUCCGCCCCUUAGCGCUGCAGCUAACGCAUUAAGCACUCCGCCUGGGGAGUACGACCGCAAGGUUGAAACUCAAAGGAAUUGACGGGGACCCGCACAAGCGGUGGAGCAUGUGGUUUAAUUCGAAGCAACGCGAAGAACCUUACCAAAUCUUGACAUCCUUUGACAACUCUAGAGAUAGAGCCUUCCCCUUCGGGGGACAAAGUGACAGGUGGUGCAUGGUUGUCGUCAGCUCGUGUCGUGAGAUGUUGGGUUAAGUCCCGCAACGAGCGCAACCCUUAAGCUUAGUUGCCAUCAUUAAGUUGGGCACUCUAAGUUGACUGCCGGUGACAAACCGGAGGAAGGUGGGGAUGACGUCAAAUCAUCAUGCCCCUUAUGAUUUGGGCUACACACGUGCUACAAUGGACAAUACAAAGGGCAGCGAAACCGCGAGGUCAAGCAAAUCCCAUAAAGUUGUUCUCAGUUCGGAUUGUAGUCUGCAACUCGACUACAUGAAGCUGGAAUCGCUAGUAAUCGUAGAUCAGCAUGCUACGGUGAAUACGUUCCCGGGUCU